GAGGCGUGGCUUCCGGAGCUAACGCGUUAAGUCGACCGCCUGGGGAGUACGGCCGCAAGGUUAAAACUCAAAUGAAUUGACGGGGGCCCGCACAAGCGGUGGAGCAUGUGGUUUAAUUCGAUGCAACGCGAAGAACCUUACCUGGUCUUGACAUCCACGGAAGUUUUCAGAGAUGAGAAUGUGCCUUCGGGAACCGUGAGACAGGUGCUGCAUGGCUGUCGUCAGCUCGUGUUGUGAAAUGUUGGGUUAAGUCCCGCAACGAGCGCAACCCUUAUCCUUUGUUGCCAGCGGUCCGGCCGGGAACUCAAAGGAGACUGCCAGUGAUAAACUGGAGGAAGGUGGGGAUGACGUCAAGUCAUCAUGGCCCUUACGACCAGGGCUACACACGUGCUACAAUGGCGCAUACAAAGAGAAGCGACCUCGCGAGAGCAAGCGGACCUCAUAAAGUGCGUCGUAGUCCGGAUUGGAGUCUGCAACUCGACUCCAUGAAGUCGGAAUCGCUAGUAAUCGUGGAUCAGAAUGCCACGGUGAAUACGUUCCCGGGCCUUGUACACACCGCCCGUC
rnacentral:rRNA from 1 species